ACAGGAACAAAACCAGGCACCAGCCAGUCUGGGGUCCUGAGAAAGUCUGUGUCCUCUUGGAUCAGAAUUGGAAUCUUAUAGAAGUCUUUUAACCUCUGUUCAUAAUCAAGCUCAGAUAACAGAAGCAAGCCUAGGAAACACUCAAGAUAUGGAAAAGACGUGUUCAAGCUGAUGGGACAAGUCCAUGUCUCCUCUUUGGUGGGGAGCGAGUGGAGGGACCGAGGACUAGGGGGGAAGCAAUCAACAAAGUCUUUGGUAACUCUGACGUUCCACAAUGGCCUACUGAAAGCAAAUUAACCUUCCUGUGGGCAGGAUCUAACACCUUCUGCAACAACUGAGGCAGGGGUCUUAAGGACAACAGCCUCCUUCACUGCACGGUCCUGAAUACUCCCUAGAGCACGUCCAUCUUGCGCGCUGAGUGAGGCAGGGUCCCUGUGGGGAAAGAAAGCAUGCCAUCUCUUCAAUUAAAUGUUUCAAGUAGUUUUGUUAAAAAAAAAAAAAUAUGUAACUAGAGAGACAAGUGAAAAUGACCAACAUUAUCAAGUGCACUUCACAUUGAUAAACGUCAAUCUUUUUACUCAUGCAAAAUUGUUCUGAGAAAACAUCAGUCCAGGACUCAGCUUCAGCAAUUACUGUCAUCAUCAGCCAAGUUCUAUUUUUCACCAUGAAAAAUCUCAUCAAGCCCAUUUCCAUUGUAAAUGUGUUGCUAGCAGAGUUCAGAGUGGUGUUAUCAGGAAGUGGAGUUUCAGUCAGCCCUCUGCAAAUAACUAGAGGCUCAUUGCAACAAAGGAAAGAUGUUUAUCUGUUCUGGGAUAAUCACUUUGGGAAAAGAAGGGGAAUAAUUGUGUGGCAACUAUUAAAA